CUCUUUUUGGCAUGUAAUCCAGGAACAUUAUCGGAGAGGGUUUCCAGAGGAGCAUCCAGGAAGCUGGGAAGCGAUAGAACAGAUGGUCCCAUUGUGAAAUCUGGCCUUUCCCUCCCGCCUUGUGGGUAAGCGUGGCAGGAUUAGACCCAGCGGGGCUCACUUGGGUGCCUCACCAGGCAGAGCACGGGGCCCCUUGCAGCCUGGGGCCUCCCAGAAGUUCAGGCUGGACGGGCCUGUGCCAUUGUAGGAUGGGGCAUCCGGGGCCCAAGGUCACAUGAUGGACAGCCGCUCAGUGACUUCUGCACCACAAACAGCAGCCUCCUGGCCCCUCCACAGGCAAGAGUCCUCUGCCCAGGCCCACGGCCCUGCCACUGCCCAGGACCGGGGGAUGGAGUGUCCGGCUUGCUAUCUUCAGACAGAACAGAGGGGCCCCAGGCCCAGACGGAGCCUUGGGCAGCAAAGGACAGCCCAUUGACACGGACCAGCUGAGGCAGGAAAGGGACAAGACACUCGAGAGAGCGUCUCCACAGCAAGUACGGGGUUGAGGGACCCAGCAAGGCCGUGCCGGGCAGAGCUGCUGGACGAGGUGUGUGUGUGAGUGAGCUGGAGGUGGUUGGCAGGAAAAGCACCCGUCCCGGCUGAGCCCAUGCUCCUGGGGCUGCGGGGUCAAGGAGACAGUGCACAGCUGGCCGGGCCUUCAGGAUCCUGGAGGUGCUCGGGGCAGGCGCCUUCAGUCAACACUCCAGGACACCGGGUCCCGGGGAAGCAGUGAAUUGCCUGUCAGGAGCCACGCCUGGCAAAGAUGGAAAAGGAAAAGGCUGUUAUCGACGGAGCAGGAGGGGUCCAGGCUGGAGGCUGGAGGGAAGUCACCACGGGCCCGGACGGUCAGGACGGCUUCCUCCUUCCAGUAAGAGGAUGCAUGAGGAACAUGCCUAAGGGGGAAGGGGCGGUGGGACAGUGGAAGUCAGUAGAAUAAGUCAGUCCACACAAGACAGACUGAUGAGCUGACUUUCUAAAGCAAAAAAAAAAAAAAAAAAAAA